UACAGAGGUGGCAAGCGUUGUUCGGAAUUACUGGGCGUAAAGGGCGCGUAGGCGGCGCGGUAAGUCACUUGUGAAAUCUCUGAGCUUAACUCAGAACGGCCAAGUGAUACUGCAGUGCUAGAGUGUGGAAGGGGCAAUCGGAAUUCUUGGUGUAGCGGUGAAAUGCGUAGAUAUCGGGAGGAACACCAGUGGCGAAGGCGGCGAUCUGGGUCGAUACUGACGCUGAGGUGCGAAAGCGUGGGGAGCAAACAGG
rnacentral:rRNA from 1 species